rnacentral:rRNA from 1 species
GAAAAGCCCGCUCGCCGGAAGACCAAGGGUUCCUGUCCAACGUUAAUCGGGGCAGGGUGAGUCGACCCCUAAGGCGAGGCCGAAAGGCGUAGUCGAUGGGAAACAGGUUAAUAUUCCUGUACUUGGUGUUACUGCGAAGGGGGGACGGAGAAGGCUAUGUUGGCCGGGCGACGGUUGUCCCGGUUUAAGCGUGUAGGCUGGUUUUCCAGGCAAAUCCGGAAAAUCAAGGCCGAGGCGUGAUGACGAGGCACUACGGUGCUGAAGCAACAAAUGCCCUGCUUCCAGGAAAAGCCUCUAAGCAUCAGGUAACAUCAAAUCGUACCCCAAACCGACACAGGUGGUCAGGUAGAGAAUACCAAGGCGCUUGAGAGAACUCGGGUGAAGGAACUAGGCAAAAUGGUGCCGUAACUUCGGGAGAAGGCACGCUGAUACGUAGGUGAAGCGACUUGCUCGUGGAGCUGAAAUCAGUCGAAGAUACCAGCUGGCUGCAACUGUUUAUUAAAAACACAGCACUGUGCA